UGUUAUAUUUGUGCUCCUUCUCCCAUGUUUGUUUUCUUAUUAGCAUCAUCAUCAUUAUUUCAAUUUUUGUCACUAUUAUGUAUCUUCUUGAGUUUAUUUGAUUGUCUCGUUUAUUUCCUUCAUUGGUGCAUUCUUUUUGCCAAUUUUCCCCUGUUUUUCUGGGUAUGAUUUUAAAAUGCACGCACACGUGUACUUAUUGUACAACCUGCACUGAACAAAGUUUGAAAAAUAUAUAUGAACAAAACAUAGAAUCAAGAUUAGUCUUCAAUUUUAUGCAAAAAGGUACUAUAAUAAUUUUUUGAAUGCAUUAGAAAAUAACUUUUCUUGUAAAAAUACAACUGUGUACAUGCUUUUUGAAGAUCAUUUAUGUAUAGGUCGAAAACAUUGCAAGUUUUAUUUUUAAAUUGCAUCAGGAUGAUUAUUUAUAUUUUAAGUAAUUUUGAAAAAUAUCAAAGACCACAUUCAUAUUUUAUAGACAAACAAAAUAUAACUUUGAGAAUUUAACUUUUAUGACCUCUCACUGAAAUUUCUUAGAGUUUUUCUUAUGUAUAAUUCUGUUAUUGAAAAUAUAUAUAUAUAUAUAUAUAUAUAUAUAUUAAAUUAGGGUUUUCUAAACAUCAAAUUAGCGUUUUUUACUACGAGAUGAUUAUUGAAAGUUUUAAACUACUUGCAUUAAUAGGAGGAAGCACAGUGGUUAUUUUGAACAGAGGAUUGAAAACAACCUAAAAUUAUUUUAGGUUGUAAGGGCAACAUCAUCUAUCUGAGCGUCAUAACUUAAUAUCAUGAAUUUCAAUUUUUUUUUAUAUAUUUUUCUACAAUCAUUACAUUUAAUGUUAAUGCAUCCAAUUUACCUGAUAUUUUUGAAGACCAAUCUCCUAGCCAAUAAUCAUGUAAUGAAUAAAUAAUCCAAUCAAUACUUCGAAAUCUAAUUAAAAUCACAUCUCCAAGUAAUAACUUUUUUGGAUAACUCCAAGAAAGCUAAAAUAAUCAUCACACUAAUUAAUGCAGCAAUUUUUAUUUUUUUUAAAACCCAAGUUCCUAAGAAUGCUUUAAAUAACUUUAAAGCAUCAAUAAUAACGAAAUAGUUGAAGGUAUGAGGUAAAAGGUAUUACAACCUCUGCUAUGGAGAAAGAUUACCGAGGAGGGCCCACCUGCAAUCUCAGAAUUAAUUGUGAGGUAUGAGAAGAAAUAACAACAACGAUUAUAAAAAAAAAGUAAAAUAAAAUGAAAAAAAGAAGCAAACUGGAACACCUCUUCUCAUCUCCGCUAACUUUUACAUUUCGAGGCAUUCGAAGCCAUGGGAGGGAAGCUGAACCAACUGUGACGGAAACGCCGAGAACGACGACGAUGGGAGUUUCGUCGGGAGGCGUGAUGUCGUAGCUCGAGGGAUUUAUAUAUUAACAUAUUUAUUUAGUUGUCGCGUGUGUGUGUGUGGGUACGUGUGUUAUCAAUCGUGCAUGCAGAUGAUCAGGGGCGCUCGGUGAACUCUCGACGGCGACGAAUGUCGUGAGAACUAGUACUGCCCUGCCCGUUGCUGCGUUCACUGCUGCGAUGGGGCUGGCGAUGGUUGGUGGGAAUCGCUCUCCACCGAUUUCUUCUUGUGGUUAAGGUGCCAUAUAGGAAGGCGUCGAUGGUUGGAGCGAGGUUGCGUGUGCGAGUGCGGAGAGUCGGUUAGGAUCCUUGGGAAGCGUUAAGAGCUUGGAGGCAGAUGCGGAGGAGGAGGAGCAGUAGAGGGGCUGGAGCGGUGUAGGAGAUUGCGAUUCGCUCUUUGGAGGCGAGGAUUAGUGAGGUUGGAAGUGAGUGGUGCCGGUGGAUCGUACCUUGCUGCCGCGACCAUGUACUGGUCAAUUAGAUGAUUCAACUUGUUUGAUUAUCAAGCAAGAAAGGGGAAUAGUACUAUCGAGGGGGGAAGCAACCAUUUCAAAACUGUGAACGAUCAUCCAACUUCUAUCAAUACAUAAUAACCGUCCCGACAUAACAAGCGGAUAGAUGCAUUGCCAAUGAAACAAGAUAUUCUACAACAAAUAGGCAUGCGUUUUGUCCGACAGACAUCCAUUCAGUCAGUGCACUAGAUAAAUAACCCCAGUUCAGCAGGUGUCGCUGUGAUUGCUUGUUCUUGUUAGGGCGUGGUGCUAUGUCCGUAUUUAACCCGUUCCAAUCCAAUGAUAGGGCUGGAUAUUUGUCGCAA